UGGAUUGUAAACCUCUUUUUUCAGGGAAGAUAAUGACGGUACCUGAAGAAUAAGCAUCGGCUAACUCCGUGCCAGCAGCCGCGGUAAGACGGAGGAUGCAAGCGUUAUCCGGAAUUAUUGGGCGUAAAGCGUACGCAGGUGGCAUAUCAAGUCCUUUGUUAAAGCGCGAGGCUCAACCUCGUAAAGGCAAUGGAAACUGGUAAGCUAGAGUAUGGUAGGGGCAGGAGGAAUUCCCAGUGUAGCGGUGAAAUGCGUAGAUAUUGGGAAGAACACCAGYGGCGAAA
rnacentral:rRNA from 1 species